CCUACGGGGGGCAGCAGUGAGGAAUAUUGGUCAAUGGACGAGAGUCUGAACCAGCCAAGUAGCGUGAAGGAUGACUGCCCUAUGGGUUGUAAACUUCUUUUAUAUGGGAAUAAAACAGGGUAUGCAUACCCUCUUGUAUGUACCAUAUGAAUAAGGAUCGGCUAACUCCGUGCCAUCAGCCGCGGUAAUACGGAGGAUCCGAGCGUUAUCCGGAUUUAUUGGGUUUAAAGGGAGCGUAGGUGGAUUGUUAAGUCAGUUGUGAAAGUUUGCGGCUCAACCGUAAAAUUGCAGUUGAAACUGGCAGUCUUGAGUACAGUAGAGGUGGGCGGAAUUCGUGGUGUAGCGGUGAAAGGCUUAGAUAUCACGAAGAACUCCGAUUGCGAAGGCAGCUCACUGGACUGCAACUGACACUGAUGCUCGAAAGUGUGGGUAUCAAACAGGAUUAGAUACCCUUGUAGUC
rnacentral:rRNA from 1 species